GUUCUCGUUUCGGCAUCACAUAUACUAAAGCUGGAAUGACACAGAGAUUAACAUCACCCCUGGACAAGGAUGAUACCCACAUUUAUGAAGUAUUCCAUAUAUAA